AUGGGGCGGCUACCCGCCUUUUUCGGUGGUGGCGGCCCCCGUGGUCAUGUGUAUGGCGUGGAGGCUAGGUCUUGUGGUGCUGACGGCUUCUAUGAGGAUGGCGGAGGUAUGGGACGCCCCCUCCACCAACAAAUCGGGUUUGAUGCGGCUCGGCGGGUGACACAUGUAUCUCUUCUGGAAGCGUCAUGGCAUGCCUGCCACCAACAGGUGCUAUGCAUGAUAUCUCAUGCGCAGACGUCAAGUCAUGCUUGCCGUCGGCAGAUGCUAUAUGGUGGGUUUGACAGAGUUGUCAUGCUUAGCUUGUUCCUAUUGUAUCGAAGGUGGUGCGACGGAGACCGGAGGCGAGGCAACAUGGGACGUCUUUGUCUUCCGGUUUCACCUACUGCAAUAUCUGGCUAG
rnacentral:rRNA from 1 species